UACGGAGGUGGCAGGCGUUACUCGGAUUGAUUGGGUGUAAAGGGCGUGUAGGUGGCAAGUUAAGUCGAGUGUGAAAUCCCUUGGCUCAACCAAGGAACUGCAUUCGAAACUGAUUUGCUUGAGCGAUGGAGAGGAAAGCGGAAUUCCCGGUGUAACAGUGAAAUGUGUAGAUAUCGGGAGGAACACCAGUGGCGAAGGCGGCUUUCUGGACAUCUGCUGACACUGAAACGCGAGAGCUAGGGGAG
rnacentral:rRNA from 1 species